rnacentral:rRNA from 1 species
CCUACGGGCGGCAGCAGUGGGGGAUAUUGCACAAUGGGGGGAACCCUGAUGCAGCGACGCCGCGUGGGUGAAGAAGCGCCUCGGCGCGUAAAGCCCUGUCAGCAGGGAAGAAAAUGACGGUACCUGAAGAAGAAGCCCCGGCUAACUACGUGCCAGCAGCCGCGGGAAUACGUAGGGGGCAAGCGUUAUCCGGAUUUACUGGGGGUAAAGGGGGCGCAGACGGCGGUGCAAGCCAGGAGUGAAAGCCCGGGGCCCAACCCCGGGACUGCUCUUGGAACUGGGUGGCUGGAGUGCAGGAGGGGCAGGUGGAAUUCCUGGUGUAGCGGUGAAAGGCGUAGAUAUCAGGAGGAACACCGGUGGCGAAGGCGACCUUCUGGACUGCAACUGACGCUGAGGCCCGAAAGCGUGGGGAGCAAACAGGAUUAGAUACCCGAGUAGUC